AGUGGGGAAUAUUGCACAAUGGAGGAAACUCUGAUGCAGCAACGCCGCGUGGAGGAUGACGCAUUUCGGUGUGUAAACUCCUUUUAUAUAGGAAGAUAAUGACGGUACUAUAUGAAUAAGCACCGGCUAACUCCGUGCCAGCAGCCGCGGUAAUACGGAGGGUGCAAGCGUUACUCGGAAUCACUGGGCGUAAAGCGCAUGCAGGCGGUUUAUUAAGUUGGAAGUGAAAUCCUAUGGCUCAACCAUAGAACUGCUUCCAAAACUGAUAAACUAGAGUCUGGGAGGGGAAGAUGGAAUUAGUAGUGUAGGGGUAAAAUCCGUAGAGAUUACUAGGAAUACCAAAAGCGAAGGCGAUCUUCUGGAACAGUACUGACGCUGAGAUGCGAAAGCGUGGGGAGCAAACAGGAUUAGAUACCCUGGUAGUCCACGCAGUAAACGAUGAAUGUUAGUCGUUGGGACUCUAGUAGUUUUAGUGAUGCAGUUAACACAUUAAACAUUCCGCCUGGGGAGUACGGUCGCAAGAUUAAAACUCAAAGGAAUAGACGGGGACCCGCACAAGUGGUGGAGCAUGUGGUUUAAUUCGAAGAUACGCGAAGAACCUUACCUAGCCUUGACAUACUACAGAAUUUGACAGAGAUGUUGAAGUGCCUUCGGGAGCUGUAAUACAGGUGCUGCACGGCUGUCGUCAGCUCGUGUCGUGAGAUGUUGGGUUAAGUCCCGCAACGAGCGCAACCCUCGUCCUUAGUUACUAACGGUUCGGCUGAGGACUCUAAGGAGACUGCCUUCGUAAGGAGGAGGAAGGUGAGGACGACGUCAAGUCAUCAUGGCCCUUACGGCUAGGGCAACACACGUGCUACAAUGGUUAGGACAAUGAGAAGCGAUACCGCGAGGUGGAGCAAAUCUAUAAACCUAAUCUCAGUUCGGAUAGCAGUCUGCAACUCGACUGCUUGAAGCUGGAAUCACUAGUAAUCGUAAAUAAGGUAUGUUACGGUGAAUACGU
rnacentral:rRNA from 1 species